rnacentral:rRNA from 1 species
CUUUCCCUCUGGCUGCAGGCCUAACACAUGCAGGUCGAGCGGAUGAAGGGAGCUUGCUCCUGGAUUCAGCGGCGGACGGGUGAGUAAUGCCUAGGAAUCUGCCUGGUAGUGGGGGAUAACGUCCGGAAACGGGCGCUAAUACCGCAUACGUCCUGAGGGAGAAAGUGGGGGAUCUUCGGACCUCACGCUAUCAGAUGAGCCUAGGUCGGAUUAGCUAGUUGGUGGGGUAAAGGCCUACCAAGGCGACGAUCCGUAACUGGUCUGAGAGGAUGAUCAGUCACACUGGAACUGAGACACGGUCCAGACUCCUACGGGAGGCAGCAGUGGGGAAUAUUGGACAAUGGGCGAAAGCCUGAUCCAGCCAUGCCGCGUGUGUGAAGAAGGUCUUCGGAUUGUAAAGCACUUUAAGUUGGGAGGAAGGGCAGUAAGUUAAUACCUUGCUGUUUUGACGUUACCAACAGAAUAAGCACCGGCUAACUUCGUG